UAAUUCCUAAGCCUUUAGGCCUUUUUUCCUCCAGUAAAUGCUGAGGCACCUCUCUCAUCAUGCUAUGGCUCUGUCCAAAUAUAAUGCAGUCCCAUUUAUGCUUAAUUUAUCUUUCUACUACUCAUGCCCUUUCAUAAAAAAAAAGACGAACUUGCCUAGAUUUAAUAAGAACAAUAAUUCUUCUUUUUUCCUCUUUCUAAAGACACAGCUUGAGGAAUUGAUGCAAACUUGCUGACUUUCUUCAUUAUAAAAAAAGGAAAGAAACAGUUGAAACAGUUCCCUUGGUAAACAACAGAUCUAAACACCUGGACACUUCAAUGUGAAGUGGCAUUCUUCAUUUGAAAAUUGGCUUUUUUUUAUGGGGGUGAAAUAACUCAAAGAGAAAUAGAGUAUCAGGUGGAAGUGCUACCUUGAGAAAGUGCUCCUACUUCUGCCUGUCCUGAUAUUAGGAAGAUGCUCAACUCUCUCCUUUUUUGAUGAAAGCAGGUGGCUCCUGUUUUUUUAUUUUAUUAUUUUUAUAGUCUUCACAGUGGAGAGGAAACUACCUUUGGAAAACUUCUGCCACUUUCCCUUUGACACGUGGGUUCCUGCAGCUUGAGGUUGCUUUUAAUGUUAUUGUGUGUAAUUAGGUGGAGAAAGAAAGGGGCUUCUGCAGCCACAGUGAUGUUCACUUGAAUGUGGAGUACACUUAAACCAGGAUUAGCAGCAAGCUGAUUUAGGGGAUGGAGUUAAACAAUGCAAUCCUCCCAAAUCUGGCUUUGCAUAUGGAAAAGGAGCUUGAGGAGGAAGGGGCUGAGGGCAAGCCUGCUGCCUGGCUAGCACCAGGAGGGCAGCCUGGAGGAAAAACCCAUGGACUCAAUGGGGAGGCAUGAGCCUGGCAGUCUGGGAGGCUGCUUCUGCAAGGAGAAAGAGGCUGGCUUCCUGAGGGCCAUGGGAUGGGUGGGUGAGUGUGUGCACGUGGGGCUGUGGGUUGGGUGUGAGCAGAGGAGGACACUGAGCAGGCAUUGUAAUGCAGCACACCGACGCCUGCUCACUCCGUUGCUGCACCUCAGAGACGCUUGCUGUCUGGCCAAGGGAGAUCUGUAUGUGCAGCAUCUUAAAGAGGUGCGUCCCGUCUCUGGAUGUGCUGUGGCAUUCUCUGGUUGGGGACAACUGUGUUCCCUGGAACAGCAGACCCCGCAACUUCUGAUAGCUCACCACCUCCUCAGCAUGACACGGGGAUGAAAGGAAGCCUUUCCUGGAGAGAAGAGCUUUCAGACAGCCAUCUGAAGGCAUCACACGAAGCCCCCAGUAGCAGUCUGGAAGCAAACCAACGCCUGUGGUUCUUCAUUUGGUGGUAGCUGACCCAUGGGCCUUCCUGCAAAGGGACAGCACAACGGGAGUCUGAAGAUUGCUGGAGAAGUCAGAAACUGGCUGGAGCAUACCCAAAGCAGUGGGAGGCUGAAGGUUUCUGGGGUGUCAUCACUCUCUAAAUCGCAGGGAGCUGCGAGCCACUUUCCGCUUGGGCUGGGCUGACCUGCAGCUGGGGUGCCUGAAGCUCUGCAGCAGCACCCAGAGCAUGAACACAGGGCAACAACAGACCCUUCGGACCUUCCCUGCUCGAAGAGACAUAUCCAGUUGUUCCAGAAAAGGGAAGCUGUCUGGGUGUUGGGUCACCUCCCACCUGCAAGAAACUCUCUUGGUUAAGAAGUGGAGCAGCCUCCCAGGGCCAUGGGCCCUUCUCUGUAAGUUGCAUCAGUAUACAUUAUUCUGUCAGUGCUGUAGUGACUUCAUUUUGUGUCCAAGCUAGCAGUUUGGUCAUUUUUUCUGUGCUGUUUGUAUUUUGAUUAUUCAAAUUGGAGUUGCCUGACUGAAAUCUAGGUCUGUUUGCUGACUAUAGUGACUCUGGGGGCACAAAAACUAGCCUUGAAUGCUACCUGCGUUUGUGGGCAAAGGAAAGGUAAUGAUUGCUAAAGUGAUUGCUGCCUCAAAGGGAGAACAGGGAUUAUGUUCAGCUUGCAUGGUCUUUGCUUUCUGGCGGACCAUGUGCCCAGCAGAUGCGUAGAACAUAGCCAUUGAAGGCAAUUGUCACAGGGAGGUGAAAGAGCCCUAUUUUGCCUUAGCUGAGCCUGUGACGCUGGUCCCUCUUGCUUUGAUCAGCGGAAUUACAACCUGCUUUGUAGUGUUUGUGGGCUUGCUGUGUCUUUCAGGAAGUCAGGGAAUAGAUUAUUUGUGUCUUCUUUUUCAUAGCUCAAUUACUGAGCACUGCUGACUCCACAGGGAUGCUGGGGGGCCAUACCUCUGGCUUUUGUGCCUUGGGUACCUGAACUGAAGCACGGAUAUUCAAAGUUUCUCAGUUUAAUUCCAGCUAAUGUAGACUUUGGGGUUUUACAUUGGUUAAAAUGACACUUGUAGGAUUGGAAAGCAUAAGUAAGUGCUUGAAGAAGAGAUAUCAUCAGGUAUUAAACUCUCAUUUGGAAGUUAUAAAUCCUUAGGCAAAUAAUAUCCUUUUUUAUUAAAGGAACACUGGCAAGCAUCACCCUGAUGCUAUAUUUAGCUUUUAAAUUAAGUGUGUUCUGAGAUCUUCAUUUGCUGAGUGGCCUAAACCCCUUGUCUGCAGCACUGAGGCAAUAAGUGCCGUAUCUGUGAAGAGCUCUAGGACCUGUGGACUGAUGUCAGAGCAAUGCUGGGAAGAGGCUGUGGAGCUGCAGUGCCCUUGGGGUGAGAUGUUUAGCUGCUUUUAAGGUAAGUCAUGGUCCGCAACCUCUCUUCCAUCCUUCACCUUCUGGAGUGCAGUAGUUAUGAAGAAGCUUUUAGUGUCUGCAUGUGUUAAUACUUAAAUGCUUGGGCAUCCAGACUUGUGUUUCUUUGUGACUUGGAAUGCUGAAUAUCUUCUUUUUUGAUUCAGGAAAGAGACUGUUACGAAAAUGGACAUAUUCAGCCUUCUGAGUAAGAAGUAUCCUAGUGGUAAGGUGAAACGGGUCGGGGGGGACAUGCAGACGACACACAGGGACAUGCGUCACCUUUAGUACCUUGCUGGUGUGGCUGCCAGGCAGAGGAAUGAGCUUUUUCAGAUGUAGUUCUGCAGUGCUCGCUGUAUACCGGAGCAGGUCUGCACAUAUACAGACUGUGCACUGAGCAGUGGCAGAGGGAUGGGAAUAAGGCAACAGCUUCUUGGCAUGAGGGUACCGUUAGCUGGCUGUGAACCGCAGCUGCUGAGCUCUGCUGCUCCAUGCCAUCCUCGGAAAGGUCAGCAGUACAGCUUCCUGAGGAAAAGAAGGCAACUGUUAAAUCAGCACCAGUUUCUGAACUGUAGUGGGUAAUCUCAUAAAAUCCCUGUGUAUUUUACCUAACAGAUCUUGGUAUGUCCUGGGCUCACAGCUGCAUCCCACUAGCUAUGAGAGAUGCCCCACCACACAGAACAUGAUGCAUCACUGGCAGAAUUAAAAGGGGUGCCUGGGAUGGGUCAGAGGUGUUUCAGCUUGAGCAGGGUCACUCUUUGCCUUUUCUGACAGGAAAGGAUCAAGGUGGAGAGAAGUGUGAAGAAGAAACUUUUGGACACCUUAGAACUUAUGAAGAAUUUCUUAAGCUGCUAGCCAGCUGAUGAUGCUGUGUCAGUGCAGCAGAGAUGGAAAGAGCUUUAAGCCUCAGCCAGAAGCAAAACCCCAACCCAGAUGAGCGCUGGAGGAUAGAGAAGUUCCCCAAGCUGGUACUUGUUGCUGUUGAAGAACCCGUAACUCAUCUCUUGGCAAUGUUUUGACCUGCUGUUUGUGGCCAUCUGGAGAUACAAAAAAAGAAUCCCAGCUCGGGCACAAGAAAGGACAGCUCACCUUGCUCCUCAGCUGCUGCUUUCCACCCAGGUCUCAGUUGGGAAGAUCCCACUGCUGUGCUGCUGGAGCUGACAGGUAGCAGCUGCCAGUCACAUUUGUCUCCCAGAUGCAUCACUCCUCUCCUUUCAGUGCAUCACAGCUGGAAAAGGAAGUGGCCUCCCACUGUUUCCUUCCCUCCCUCCCACCUCUUUCACAAAUUUUGUUCUUGUACUACCUUGGCUCUUUCCUCCUUUUUAGAGAUAGUGCUGAAAGUAAUAACUCCAGCUACUUACAUUAACAGGUUUUACCUGGAAAGCCAUAAAUAACUGUCAUAAACUAAUAUUAAUGUCACUGUUUUAAUAUGAAUAAAUACUGGAAAUGG